GCAACCCUUGUCUUUAAUUGCCAUCAUUUAGUUGGGCACCUUAAAGAGACUGCCGGUGUUAAGCCGGAGGAAGUGGGAUGACGUCAAGUCCUCAUGGCCUUUAUGCCCAGGGCUACACACGUGCUACAAUGGGCGAUACAAAGAGAAGCAACCUCGCGAGGGUGAGCAAAUCUCAAAAAGCCGUUCUCAGUUCGGAUUGAAGUCUGCAACUCGACUUCAUGAAGUCGGAAUCGCUAGUAAUCGCGGAUCAGCAUGCCGCGGUGAAUACGUUCCCGGGCCUU
rnacentral:rRNA from 1 species